rnacentral:rRNA from 1 species
UACGGAGGGUGCAAGCGUUAUCCGGAUUUACUGGGCGUAAAGGGCGCGUAGGCGGCGUAACAAGUCACUUGUGAAAUCUCCGGGCUUAACCCGGAGCGGCCAAGUGAUACUGUUGUGCUAGAGUGCGGAAGGGGCUACUGGAAUUCUCGGUGUAGCGGUGAAAUGCGUAGAGAUCGGGAGGAACACCGGCGGCGAAGGCGGCUGCCUGGACCAGUCCUGACGCUGAGGCGCGAAAGCUAGGGGAGCAAACAGG